UAGUCAGGCAACGAGCGAGACCCACGCCCACAGUUGCCAGCGUACUCUCUGGAGUGACGGGUACACUGUGGGGACCGCCGCUGCUAAAGCGGAGGAAGGAAUGGGCAACGGUAGGUCAGUAUGCCCCGAAUGUCCCGGGCUACACGCGGGCUACAAUGGUUGGUACAAUGGGUAUCUACCCCGAAAGGGGAUGGAAAUCUCCUAAAGCCAAUCUUAGUUCGGAUCGAGGGCUGUAACCCGCCCUCGUGAAGCUGGAAUGCGUAGUAAUCGCGUGUCAUAAUCGCGCGGUGAAUACGUCCCUGCUCCUUGCACA
rnacentral:rRNA from 1 species